CGUCCCUGCCCUUUGUAC
rnacentral:siRNA from 1 species